AUUUGGAGAGGCAUCGGCGUUGGAGAUGUAACCAUCCCGGAGUAGAUCAGCCCCUCACUCCCCUUCAGCUGAGGGGAGGACAGGGGCAAGGCAACGGAAAGCAUGUGCGUGAGAUGUGCGAAGAACAACAGGAGGAUCCGUUAUUAAAAAUGGACGGUACCGGCGGGACGUCACGAUGCGUCGUCGCCACAGAAGCGUAAUACGACGUUCAUGCACGCGCUCAUUCGGCUCACACAGAGGAGCACGUCCAGAGGAACCGCUGUCCCUCCUGGUCAGUGCCACACGCCCUGCUGCAUCCUACAGAUCAAAAUGUGAUGAUGUCUAUCAAUGAGCCAUCACCAGUUUCCAGAAAUGGCAUUCACCUGGUCCUGACCUAUCACCACCAAGUUGCACCUCGAUCCAACAGCUGGAGGCUCCAACACAUUGCUUCAACCAAGUAAAAUGUGAGAACAAGAUGAAAACACCUGAUAUUUCCAGCAAAUGUGGAUUUACAAAACUCACCAGUGGCUGCAGCAAAAGACAAAACUACAAGACAAAACUGGACAAACAGCAUUCAAGAUUCCCAUAGACACACUUCUGUGGAUCUAAACUUUCAUAUUUUGUUAUGUCAAAGCAUGAACCAAUUAUCCCAUCAUUGCAAUACCAGUUUGAAUUGCUACCUUCAAUAUUUAUUAGAGAAGUUCGAUUUAGUAGUCUUGAAAUGUUAAAUAGAUAUAAUAAUUUUGAUAUAUUUUUGGGGGGGUUGAUGUCUCAUUUGUAAACUUUUAACUGACAAUCUGUAUGACUGGGUUGAACUUGAAUAGUUAAUGAUAAGAUGAGUUUGCACUAUGUUGAGAAUACUGAUGCACUAGUGAGGACUAACGUGUGCACUAACCUAGAUGUAGUAAAAACUUAUGUCUAUGCAGGAUACUAUAAGUAAUUAAUUGCACUACUAAUAUUUGCAGCACUGUUUUGUUUGCACAAAAGGGAUAAUUGAGCGGGUUUUAUGGGAUUGUCUUGAAUAUGCAUUGCAGGAGCAUAAGUGCAAUGUGUUAAGUAUAUGUUGAUAGAUUUGAAUGGAAGAAAUGCUUAUAUUCUGGUACAGUAUACUGUGUAUGUGUGUUAUGUGUAAUUAUAAUUGGUAAUUGAUAAUCCUAGAAAAUUAAAUGUGGAUCUAUUUUUGCAGAUUUAUUUUUAUAACCUGUUUUUUCUAAUCAGCGUUUGACAAUGUGUUUAAUAAUUGAAUGUAAUUAGAAGGUGCAAUCGAUUUUAUAGCACUAAUAUUUGUUCACAGAAAUAUAUAAAAGAUGCACUAAUGUUUUGAAAUCAGCUCAAUUUGCACCAGUUGCUGUGCUCUUGCUUGUACUAUGCAAAUCGUUGUUUGUUAAUGUGUUUUAAUAAAUCAAUAAAGUACUAAUGUUUACAAUGAGAC